rnacentral:rRNA from 1 species
AACGUAGGACACAAGCGUUAUCCGGAGUUACUGGGCGUAAAGGGCGCGUAGGCGGCCUUCUAAGUCGAACGUGAAAUCCCCGGGCUCAACCCGGGAACUGCGUCCGAUACUGGAAGGCUUGAAUCCGGGAGAGGGAUGCGGAAUUCCAGGUGUAGCGGUGAAAUGCGUAGAUAUCUGGAGGAACACCGGUGGCGAAGGCGGCAUCCUGGACCGGCAUUGACGCUGAGGCGCGAAAGCCAGGGGAGCAAACGGG